rnacentral:misc_RNA from 1 species
AAGAUGGCCUGAAGGGAUUCUUCCGUGGGACCGGUGCCACUCUUUGUAGGGAAGUUCCAUUCUAUGUUGCGGGCAUGGGUCUUUAUGCUGAAUCCAAAAAGGCCGCUGAGAAACUUCUUUCACGAGAACUUGAGCCAUGGGAAACAAUCGCAGUUGGGGCAUUGUCGGGUGGGCUAGCUGCUGUUGUCACAACACCUUUCGACGUGAUGAAGACAAGAAUGAUGACAGCUCAAGGUCGAUCAGUGUCAAUGUCAUUUGUUUUCGUUUCAAUUCUUCGCCACGAAGGCCCCAUCGGCUUGUUCAAAGGAG